AGAAGGCCGACGAGCCCCGGGCGGCGGCGUGGCGGCACAUGUGGCAGAUGAAGUAGUGGAUGGAGACGGACGCCACCAUCUCGUCCCAUGUCCUCCACCUCCGUCGUCGGCCACCAUCGGCACCCUCCUCUCCGGCGACGGCGGCGGAAUCACAGCCGAAGACGACAUCAAUUCCUCCGGUUCUUGAAUCUCCUCCUCUCUCGCUGCGUUCUUGCGUUCUUGGUGGUGAAGAGGAAGGGACAGGGAGGAACUGAGAAGUUCAGAAAUGAAAAAGGGAAAUGUAGGUUGGUUGUGAGAUGAUGAGUUCUUCAGACCUUUGUUUGCCUGAGAAUGGUAGUUGUCUGCUUUGAUGAAGCUGUAACCUAAGGUUUCAGCAAGGAGUGCUACUACUGUCCUGCGAAUUCACAGUGAAA